UAGGGAAUCUUCCGCAAUGGACGAAAGUCUGACGGAGCAACGCCGCGUGAGUGAUGAAGGUCUUCGGAUCGUAAAACUCUGUUGUUAGAGAAGAACAAGUACCGUUCGAAUAGGGCGGUACCUUGACGGUACCUAACCAGAAAGCCACGGCUAACUACGUGCCAGCAGCCGCGGUAAUACGUAGGUGGCAAGCGUUGUCCGGAAUUAUUGGGCGUAAAGCGCGCGCAGGCGGUUUCUUAAGUCUGAUGUGAAAGCCCACGGCUCAACCGUGGAGGGUCAUUGGAAACUGGGAGACUUGAGUGCAGAAGAGGAGAGUGGAAUUCCACGUGUAGCGGUGAAAUGCGUAGAGAUGUGGAGGAACACCAGUGGCGAAGGCGACUCUCUGGUCUGUAACUGACGCUGAGGCGCGAAAGCGUGGGGAGCGAACA
rnacentral:rRNA from 1 species